rnacentral:rRNA from 1 species
GAUCAUGCUCAGGAUGAACGCUAGCGGCAGGCUUAACACAUGCAAGUCGAGGGGCAGCAUAAUGGUAGUAAUACUAUUGAUGGCGACCGGCGGACGGGUGCGUAACGCGUAUGCAACCUACCCUUUACAGGGGGAUAACACUGAGAAAUCGGUACUAAUACCCCAUAAUAUUCUGGGAGGCAUCUUUCGGAGUUGAAAGCUUUGGUGGUAAAGGAUGGGCAUGCGUUGUAUUAGCUAGUUGGUAAGG